rnacentral:rRNA from 1 species
GAUGAACGCUGGCGGCGUGCUUAACACAUGCAAGUCGAACGAAGCACUUUAUUUGAUUUCCUUCGGGACUGAUUAUUUUGUGACUGAGUGGCGGACGGGUGAGUAACGCGUGGGUAACCUGCCUUGUACAGGGGGAUAACAGUUGGAAACGGCUGCUAAUACCGCAUAAGCGCACGGCAUCGCAUGAUGCAGUGUGAAAAACUCCGGUGGUAUAAGAUGGACCCGCGUUGGAUUAGCUAGUUGGUGAGGUAACGGCCCACCAAGGCGACGAUCCAUAGCCGACCUGAGAGGGUGACCGGCCACAUUGGGACUGAGACACGGCCCAAACUCCUACGGGAGGCAGCAGUGGGGAAUAUUGCACAAUGGGCGAAAGCCUGAUGCAGCGACGCCGCGUGAGCGAAGAAGUAUUUCGGUAUGUAAAGCGCUAUCAGCAGGGAAGAUAAUGACGGUACCUGACUAAGAAGCACCGGCUAAAUACGUG